rnacentral:rRNA from 1 species
AUUGAACGCUAGCGGCAUGCCUUACACAUGCAAGUCGAACGGAGUGGCGAACGGGUGAGUAAUGUACCGGACCGUGCCCCGUCGCGGGGGAUAACUACGCGAACGCGUAGCUAAUUCCGCUUCCUAUUGGAGCGGCCGAUAUCGGAUUCGCUAGUUGGUGGGGUAACGGCUCACCAGGGCGACGAUCCGUAGCUGGUUUGAGAGGACGACCAGCCCAACUGGGACUGAGACACGGCCCAGACUCCUACGGGAGGCAGCAGUGGGGAAUUUUGGACAAUGGGGGAAACCCUGAUCCAGCCAUCCCGCGUGUGCGAUGAAGGCCUUCGGGUGGUAAAGCACUUUUGGCAGGAAAGCGGUACCUGCAGAAUAAGCACCGGCUAACUACGUGCCAGCCGCCGCGGUAAUAC